GGCACCGUGGCUUAGUAGGUAAAAGUUCCUGUCUCGUAAACAGGAGAUCCUGGGUUCAAAUACCAGCUGUUCCC
rnacentral:tRNA from 1 species